GCUUUAACUGACGCUGAGGCUCGAAAGCGUGGGGAGCAAACAGGAUUAGAUACCCUGGUAGUCCACGCCGUAAACGAUGAUUACUAGGUGUGGGGGGACUGACCCCUUCCGUGCCGCAGUUAACACAAUAAGUAAUCCACCUGGGGAGUACGACCGCAAGGUUGAAACUCAAAGGAAUUGACGGGGGCCCGCACAAGCAGUGGAGUAUGUGGUUUAAUUCGAAGCAACGCGAAGAACCUUACCAGGUCUUGACAUCGUGAGCAUAGCUUAGAGAUAAGUGAAAUCCCUUCGGGGACUCAUAGACAGGUGGUGCAUGGUUGUCGUCAGCUCGUGUCGUGAGAUGUUGGGUUAAGUCCCGCAACGAGCGCAACCCUUACUGUUAGUUGCUACGCAAGAGCACUCUAGCAGGACUGCCGUUGACAAAACGGAGGAAGGUGGGGAUGACGUCAAAUCAUCAUGCCCCUUAUGACCUGGGCUACACACGUACUACAAUGGCUGUAAACAGAGGGAAGCAAAGCAGUGAUGCAGAGCAAAACCCUAAAAGCAGUCUUAGUUCGGAUUGUAGGCUGCAACCCGCCUACAUGAAGUCGGAAUUGCUAGU
rnacentral:rRNA from 1 species